rnacentral:rRNA from 1 species
GAGUACGGCCGCAAGGUUAAAACUCAAAGGAAUUGACGGGGACCCGCACAAGCGGUGGAUGAUGUGGAUUAAUUCGAUGCAACGCGAAAAACCUUACCUACCCUUGACAUGUCCAGAAGCUCUUAGAGAUUUGAGUGUGCCCGAAAGGGAGCUGGAACACAGGUGCUGCAUGGCUGUCGUCAGCUCGUGUCGUGAGAUGUUGGGUUAAGUCCCGCAACGAGCGCAACCCUUGUCGUUAAUUGCCAUCAUUUAGUUGGGCACUUUAACGAGACUGCCGGUGACAAACCGGAGGAAGGUGGGGAUGACGUCAAGUCCUCAUGGCCCUUAUGGGUAGGGCUUCACACGUCAUACAAUGGUCGGUACAGAGGGUUGCCAAGCCGCGAGGUGGAGCCAAUCCCAGAAAGCCGAUCGUAGUCCGGAUUGCAGGCUGCAACUCGCCUGCAUGAAGUCGGAAUCGCUAGUAAUCGCGGAUCAGCAUGUCGCGGUGAAUACGUUCCCGGGUCUUGUACACACCGCCCGUCACACCAUGGGAGCGGGUUCCGCCAGAAGUAGGUAGCCUAACCGCAAGGAGGGCGCUUACCACGGCGGGGUUCGUGACUGGGGUGAAGUCGUAACAAGGUAGCC